AACAUGCACCUGCUUGGUAUGUAAGCCUAGCUGCUGCUCUUCUGAUGGUUAAUUAAUAACAAAUAACGUUAUUAGUAAGAGUUAUUAGGUAGCGAACAUAGAUUGACGAACUGUACAGGACAUGGAAAUGCGCUUUUAUGCGUUACAAUGAAGUCUUGUUUUUCGUCGUAGGCCUAUAUCUACAGGAUGAGGCGCGUAUUGUCUUCCACUGAUGGCAGAAUGAACCCGAUUACGUGAACGUAUUUCCUCAAUCCAUCAUGUUGUUUCUCCAUCGGUUGUUUGUUUUUCGAUUCGACUGAAAGAUAACCGACGUUGACAUGCAGGUGCACCACAAUGUUGCUGCAGCCGUUCGUACGAUUCGUUGGGGAUUAAUCGGAACAUCCAGAAGUACUCCGGUCAUACACUGACGUUACUGCAGUGUAGCUGCAGUUCCGUUACCCAAUUGGUGCUGGAGAAAGGACAUCACAGGACCAUCUCGCCGGGAUGGGGCUUCUAGAAUGUCGCGACUGCUAGCCCACAUGCACAUGGAACGCGGAACCGGAAUUCUCCCCAACGGAUGGGAAUCAUAGCGAUGUGCUAGCCGCGAUUGUUCCAUCAGCAAGGUGUGAAUGGCGACGGCGUCUAGCAUGCUAGCGGCUAAGCGUCUGAACACGCUGCUAGGCUAGCACACAGCCCUGCCACUGGAGCCUUCUACCUAACGCAAAC